UACGUAGGGAGCAAGCGUUGUUCGGAUUUACUGGGCGUAAAGGGCGCGUAGGCGGCGCGGUGAGUCACUUGUGAAAUCUCUGAGCUUAACUCAGAACGGCCAAGUGAUACUGCAGUGCUAGAGUGCAGAAAGGGCAAUCGGAAUUCUUGGUGUAGCGGUGAAAUGCGUAGAUAUCAAGAGGAACACCUGAGGCGAAGGCGGGUUGCUAGGCUGACACUGACGCUGAGGCGCGAAAGCCAGGGGAGCAAACGGG
rnacentral:rRNA from 1 species